rnacentral:rRNA from 1 species
AGUGAACGCUGGCGGUAGGCCUAACACAUGCAAGUCGAACGGCAGCACAGUAAGAGCUUGCUCUUACGGGUGGCGAGUGGCGGACGGGUGAGGAAUACAUCGGAAUCUACUUUUUCGUGGGGGAUAACGUAGGGAAACUUACGCUAAUACCGCAUACGACCUACGGGUGAAAGCAGGGGAUCUUCGGACCUUGCGCGAUUGAAUGAGCGGAUGUCGGAUUAGCUAGUUGGCGGGGUAAAGGCCCACCAAGGCGACGAUCCGUAGCUGGUCGGAGAGGAGGAUCAGCCACACUGGAACUGAGACACGGUCCAGACUCCUACGGGAGGCAGCAGUGGGGAAUAUUGGACAAUGGGCGCAAGCCUGAUCCAGCCAUACCGCGUGGGUGAAGAAGGCCUUCGGGUUGUAAAGCCCUUUUGUUGGGAAAGAAAAGCAGCAGGUUAAUACCCCGCUGUUCUGACGGUACCCAAAGAAUAAGCACCGGCUAACUUCGUG